ACAGUGCGGCAAAACCUCUAUUUACCUCUUUUAAUGUAGGGUGGUGUCCUCUAAUGUUUAACGGAACAGGAGCACAAAGACAGUGCUCAGGCACUGGAACAGGCUUCCCAGGGAAGUGGUGGAAUCGCUGUCCCUGGAAGUGUUCUAGAACUGUAUAAAUGAAGCCUUUAGUGACACAGUUUAGUGAUGGACUCGGCAGCCCUGGAGUAAAGACUGGACUUGAUCUUAAAGGUCUUUUCCGACCUGGAUAAUUUUAUCAUUACCAGCACAUGAGCACCCAGAGAUCCACCUGCUGUAUUUAUCUCUGCCUGUGCCAGCUUCCCUCAGUGUAUUAAAAGGUGACUGGAAGUAGUGGUGGCCACUAAUUUUUAUACUAAAAAGGCAAAAAUCUUCUUCCUGAUCGUGCUGGUACUGCCAGGUGCUGUAUGCCUCAGUACAGCUCCUAUGCUUGCAGAUGGAUUUGUUACUCUCCAUAAUGGAAACUUAGGGCAUUGCAGUGGUGCUGACAUGAAGUCAAAGUGUCCUGUAAAGAUCAGUGAGGUAGACUACAAACAACCCAAAGCAAAUCAGUGUAUUUUGCAGCAAUUUAUGGAGUAUUUUCCACACUGGAGCAGGAUUUGUCCCUCAAAGAGCAAGCAGCUGUGUGGAUGAACAGUGAAACCAGGAAGGAAAACAUGGAGCUGAAUUGCUUGUUACUUUUUCUGUUCACAAACCAGCUGGCAUGCUUGAGGAAAGAAAAUCUCAUUUUGAGCAAAUGGCUUCCUGGUUUGCAGCUGUAAAGGUUUCAGCAUCACCACCAAAAAGGAUCUGCAUAAGAAGAACAAAAAUGUCAUACAGAGGAAAACCACUUGAGGUUUGAACCAUACUGACUACAUAUUCCAACAGCAAAAGAUAAACACAUGAAAACACAAUUUGGGUAACAUAAAUUACAACAGAAGUACAGGCUGUCCUGAAGUGAUUACACAAGACAUUAAGGAUGUGCUCAGAGAGUCACGGAUACCCUAAAAAAACACACCAGAACCACUCAGCUUCAAAGUCACUACUCUAGCUAGCUGUCUCCAGAGCAAGAUUACCUCACUGCUA